UGGGGAAUAUUGCACAAUGGGCGCAAGCCUGAUGCAGCAACGCCGCGUGAGGGACGACGGCCUUCGGGUUGUAAACCUCUUUUAGUAGGGAAGAAGCGAAAGUGACGGUACCUGCAGAAAAAGCACCGGCUAACUACGUGCCAGCAGCCGCGGUAAUACGUAGGGUGCAAGCGUUGUCCGGAAUUAUUGGGCGUAAAGAGCUCGUAGGCGGUUUGUCGCGUCUGCUGUGAAAACCCGAGGCUCAACCUCGGGCCUGCAGUGGGUACGGGCAAACUAGAGUGCGGUAGGGGAGAAUGGAAUUCCUGGUGUAGCGGUGGAAUGCGCAGAUAUCAGGAGGAACACCGAUGGCGAAGGCAGUUCUCUGGGCCGUAACUGACGCUGAGGAGCGAAAGCGUGGGGAGCGAACAGGAUUAGAUACCCCGGUAGUCC
rnacentral:rRNA from 1 species